rnacentral:rRNA from 1 species
GGCGGACGGGUGAGUAACACGUGGAUAACCUACCUAUAAGACUGGGAUAACUUCGGGAAACCGGAGCUAAUACCGGAUAAUAUUUUGAACCGCAUGGUUCAAAAGUGAAAGACGGUCUUGCUGUCACUUAUAGAUGGAUCCGCGCUGCAUUAGCUAGUUGGUAAGGUAACGGCUUACCAAGGCAACGAUGCAUAGCCGACCUGAGAGGGUGAUCGGCCACACUGGAACUGAGACACGGUCCAGACUCCUACGGGAGGCAGCAGUAGGGAAUCUUCCGCAAUGGGCGAAAGCCUGACGGAGCAACGCCGCGUGAGUGGUGAAGGUCUUCGGAUCGUAAAACUCUGUUAUUAGGGAAGAACAUAUGUGUAAGUAACUGUGCACAUCUUGACGGUACCUAAUCAGAAAGCCACGGCUAACUACGUGCCAGCAGCCGCGGUAAUACGUAGGUGGCAAGCGUUAUCCGGAAUUAUUGGGCGUAAAGCGCGCGUAGGCGGUUUUUUAAGUCUGAUGUGAAAGCCCACGGCUCAACCGUGGAGGGUCAUUGGAAACUGGAAAACUUGAGUGCAGAAGAGGAAAGUGGAAUUCCAUGUGUAGCGGUGAAAU